AAAGAAAACCAUUAUGUUUAAAGUCUUCAUUACUAAUGAACCUAAAGUUGUGAUUUUUGGAAUAUUCUAUUUGUUAAUAUUUAUGAUGAUGAUCCAUGAGAGAGAAGAAAAGAAACUGUUGAAUAUGAAAUACAGCCAUUGUGCCAUGAAAAAAGAAUCACAUAUAUGGCCAAGGGAGCCAAUGCAAUAAUGAUAUGUGUAUUAAAAUGAUAUGUCUUUGGGUUGUAAUUCAAAUGAAGGUUAUGAUGCCAAAUUGUGUGAGAAAACUCAAUAUGCUUAAGACUCUUAAUUUCUCAUAUGUGUACCUAAAGUAUUGAUUGGAAAUAUCUUAUUGUUGAUAAUCUAUAAAGAUGGUUGGAAGUGAAAUAAGUGACUUGGGGACAUAAAAUGUGGCCAACAUGCCAAGACUGGAAGUUAUACUUAUGGCCAAUGGUGCCAAUGAAAUGAAAUGAUGUGAGAAAGAUUAUGAAAUGAGCUUUGAUUCAACUGUUCUAAAAUUGACUUUGAAAAUAGAAUUGCAUAAAAGCUUAUGAACUCAAGUGAUGCCCAUAUGUGGUUCUUUUAGCUAAUGCUAUGUUUUGUAAGUAUAUUCAAUGUGUUUUGCCUUCUUACAUAUUCGUGAGUGGAAAUUGUGAAUUUCCCUUUUUGGGGGAAAGUAUUUCAAGAAUAAAUGAUGUGUUACUUGUUUAUGAUUUUAGCUUGUGCUUCGAUUGCCAAUCAGUUUACCCCAUUUCUUGGAAUGAAAACCAUUGUGUUUAAAGUCUUCAUUACUAAUGAACCUAAAGUUGUGAUUUUCGGAAUGUUCUAUUUGUUGAUAUAUAUGAUGUUGAUCCAUGAGAGAGAAGAAAUGAAAGUGUGAAAUACGAAAUACAACCAUUGUGCCAUGAAAGAAAAAUCACAUAUAUGGCCUAGGGAGCCAAUGCAAUAAUGAUAUGUGUAUUAAAAUGAUAUGUCUUUGGGUUGUAAUUCAAAUGAAGGUUAUGAUGCCAAAUUGUGUGAGAAAACUCAAUAUGCUUAAGACUCUUAAUUUCUCAAAUGUGUACCUAAAGUAUUGAUUGGAAAUAUGUUAUUGUUGAUAAUCUAUAAAGAUGGUUGGAAGUGAAAUAAGUGACUUGGGGACAUAAAAUGUGGCCAACUUGCCAAGACUGGAAGUUAUACUUAUGGCCAAUGGUGCCAAUGAAAUGAAAUGAUGUGAGAAAGAUUAUGAAAAGAGAUUUGAUUAAACUGUUCUAAAAUUGACUUUGAAAAUAGAAUUGCCUAAAAGCUUAUGAACUCAAAUGAUGCCCAUAUGUGGUUGUUUUAGCUAAUGCUAUGUUUUGUAAGUAUAUUCAAUGUGUUUUGCCUUCUUACAUAUUCGUGAGUGGAAAUUGUGCAUUUCCCUUUUUGGGUAAAAAUAUUUCAAGAAUAAAUGAUGCGUUACUUGUUUAUGAUUUUAGCUCGUGCUUCGAUUGCCAAUCAUUUUACCCCAUUUCUUGGAAAGAAAUCCAUUGUGUUUAAAGUCUUCAUUACUAAUUAACCUAAAGUUAUGAUUUUCGGAAUAUUCUAUUUGUUGAUAUUUAUGAUGAUGAUCCAUGAGAGAGAAGAAUUGAAAGUGUGGAAUAUGAAAUAGAACCAUUGUGCCAUGAAAGAAGAAUCACAUGUAUGGCCGAGGGAGCCAAUGCAAUAAUGAAAUGUGUAUUAAAAUGAUAUGUCUUUGGGUUGUAAUUCAAAUGAAGGUUAUGAUGCCAAAUUGUGUGAGAAAAACUCAAUAUCCUUAAGACUCUUCAUUUCUCAUAUGUGUACCGAAAGUAUUGAUUGGAAAUGUCUUAUUGUUGAUGAUCUAUAAAGAUGGUUGGAAGUGAAAUAAGUGACUUGGUGACAUAAAGUGUGGCCAACGUGCCAAGGCUGGAAGUUAUACUUAUGACCAAUGGAGCCAAUGAAAUGAAAUGAUGUGAGAAAGAUUAUGAAAUGAGAUCUGAUACAACUGUUCUAAAAUUGACUUUGAAAAUAGAAUUGCCUAAAAGCCUAUGAACUCAAGUGAUGUCAAUAAGUGGUUGUUUUAGCUAAUGCUAUGUUUUGUAAGUGUAUUCAAUGUGUUUUGCAUUCUUACAUAUUCGUGAUUGGAAAUUGUGAAUUUCCCUUUUUGGGGAAAAGUAUUUCAAGAAUAAAUGACGUGUUACUUGUGUGAAAAAACUCAAUAUGCUUAAGACUCUUAAUUUCUAAUAUAUGUACCUAAAGUAUUGAUUGGAAAUAUCUUAUUGUUGAUAAUCUAUAACGAUGGUUGGAAGUGAAAUAAGUGACUUGGGGACAUAAAAUGUGGCCAACGUGCCAAGACUGGAAGUUAUACUUAUGGCCAAUGGUGCCAAUGAAACGAAAUGAUGUGAGAAAGAUAAUGAAAUGAGAUUUGAUUCAACUGUUCUAAAAUUGACUUUGAAAAUAGAAUUGCCUAAAAGCUUAGGAACUCAAGUGAUGCACAUAUGUGGUUGAUUUAGCUAAUGCUAUAUUUUGUAAGUAUAUUCAAUUUGUUUUGCAUUCUUACAUAUCUGUGAGUUAAAAUUAUGCAUUGCCCUUUAUGGGGAAAAGUAUUUCAAUAAUAAAUGAUGUGUUACUUGUUUAUGAUUUUAGCUCGUGCUUCGAUUGCCAAUAUUUUUACUCCAUUUCUUGGAAAGAAAUCCAUUGUGUGUAAAGUCUUCAUUACUAAUGAACCUAAAGUUGUGAUUUCCGAAAUAUUCUAUUUGUUGAUAUUUAUGAUGAUGAUCCAUGAGAGAGAAGAAUUGAAAGUGUGGAAUAUGAAAUACAACCAUUGUGCCAUAAAAGAAGAAUCACAUGUAUUAAUAGUAAAUUUCCAAUGUGGAUUUAUAACAAAUCAUUACAAUGUCAUAACUGGCCUUGAAGGCACGAACUCUGCUAUUGCCAAAAAACACAUCUAAUCUCAAGUACUAAACACGAGCCUGGCGGGGCAAACGGCCCGAUCCUUUAGGAAAUGUGAUACUCAAUACUGUCAAGGUGAACGACCUGGUCCUAUAUUAAUAAUUUUACCAUAAUACCGUGGUGAAUGACCCGAUCUCAUAAAAGUAAUUUACAACAAUGUUGAGGUGAACGACCCG
rnacentral:lncRNA from 1 species